rnacentral:rRNA from 6 species
AACUUUUAACAAUGGAUCUCUUGGCUUUUGCAUCGAUGAAGAACGUAGCAAAUUGCGAUAACUAGUGUGAAUUGCAAAUUCAGUGAAUCAUCGAGUCUUUGAACGCAUCUUGCGCUCAUUGGUAUUCCAGUGAGCACGCCUGUUUCAGUA